AUUGAACGCUGGCGGCAGGCCUAACACAUGCAAGUCGAACGAGUGGCGGACGGGUGAGUAAUGUCUGGGAAACUGCCCGAUGGAGGGGGAUAACUACUGGAAACGGUAGCUAAUACCGCAUACCAUCGGAUGUGCCCAGAGGGGAUUAGCCAGUAGGUGGGGUAACUGCUCACCUAGGCGGCGAUCCCUAGCUGGUCAGAGAGGAUGAACAGCCACACUGUAACUGAGACACUGACCAGGCUCAUACGGGAGGCAGAAGUGGGGAAUAUUGCACUAUGGGCGCAAGCCUGAUGCAGCCAUGCCGCGUGUAUGAAGAAGGCCUUCGGUUUGUAAAGUACUUUCAGCGAGGAGGCUUUACUCGCAGAAGAAGCACCGGCUAACUCCGUGCCAGCCGCCGCGGUAAUAC
rnacentral:rRNA from 1 species